rnacentral:ncRNA from 1 species
UUAUUUGAGAGUUUGAUCCUGGCUCAGGAUAAACGCUGGCGGCGUGCCUUAGGCAUGCAAGUCGAACGGGUCUGGCUUGCCAGACCAGUGGCGGAAGGGUGAGUAACGCGUGGGAACGUACCUAUUGGUGGAGUAUAGCCUUCCGAAAGGAGGGGUAAUACUGCAUAAGUUCGCAAGAAGAAAGGGCUUAACCGCCCGCCGAUAGAGCGGCCCGCGUCCUAUCAGUUUGUUGGUGGGGUAAUGGCCUACCAAGACAAUGACGGGUAGCUGGGCUGAGAGGUCGGCCAGCCACAAGGGAACUGAGACACGGUCCCUACAUCUACGGAUGGCAGCAACCGGGAAUCUUGGACAAUGGGGGAAACCCUGAUCCAGCGACGCCGCGUGGGGGAAGAAGGCCUUCGGGUUGUAAACUCCUUUUGCCAGUUAUAAUGACUUGGCGAAUAAGCACCUGCCAACUACGUGCCAGCAGCCGCGGUGAAACGUAGGGUGCAAGCGUUAUCCGGAUUUACUGGGCGUAAAGGGUUGCGUAGGCGGUAACUUAAGUCAAAACUCAAAUCUUCCAGCUCAACUGGAAAUCGGGUUUUGAAACUAAGUUGCUUGAGUCUUGGAGAGGUAGCCGGAACUUGCAGUGGAGCGGUGAAAUGCGUUGAUAUUGCAAGGAACACCGAUGGCGUAGGCAGGCUACUGGUCAAGUACUGACGCUGAUGCACGAAAGCUAGGGGAGCGAAAGGGAUUAGAGACCCCUGUAGUCCUAGCCGUAAACGAUGGACACUAGCUGAUUGCUUUUUAAAGUGAUUGGCGCAAGCUAACGCGUUAAGUGUCCCGCCUGGGGAGUACGGCCGCAAGGCUAAAACUCAAAGGAAUUGACGGGGACCUGCACAAGCGGUGGAGCAUGUGG